rnacentral:rRNA from 1 species
GACGAACGCUGGCGGCGUGCUUAACACAUGCAAGUCGAACGGAAAGGCCCUGCUUUUGUGGGGUGCUCGAGUGGCGAACGGGUGAGUAACACGUGAGUAACCUGCCCUUGACUUUGGGAUAACUUCAGGAAACUGGGGCUAAUACCGGAUAGGAGCUCCUGCUGCAUGGUGGGGGUUGGAAAGUUUCGGCGGUUGGGGAUGGACUCGCGGCUUAUCCGCUUGUUGGUGGGGUAGUGGCUUACCAAGGCUUUGACGGGUAGCCGGCCUGAGAGGGUGACCGGCCACAUUGGGACUGAGAUACGGCCCAGACUCCUGCGGGAGGCAGCAGUGGGGAAUAUUGCACAAUGGGCGGAAGCCUGAUGCAGCAACGCCGCGUGCGGGAUGAAGGCCUUCGGGUUGUAAACCGCUUUCGCCUGUGACGAAGCGUGAGUGACGGUAAUGGGUAAAGAAGCACCGGCUAACUACGUG